CUAAAGUAAAUAAAAUUUAAAUUUUUGUAGCAUUCUCCUGCGGUAAAACUCGGACUAUAGCAGCCCUAUCAAACUAAUUUCAUUGAGAGUUUAAAUAAAUGGUUCCGAUUACUUCAGAUCAGCAAUGGAAUUUACAACAUUUUUAUCUAUGCAAAGAUCCACGCGAAUUUUUCGAAAAAUUUAUCUUUUAUGCAGAUGAGCAGUUGAAUAUUAUCAACCACACAGGGAGAAGUAAUUGAAUGCGUAUUAGUGCAUACAACUAGAAAGCGAUUCGAAACCAGUAAUUUUGUUACGUACACAAAUAUUUAAAAACUUUAAUAUACUUUUUAUUUUAAUAGCGUAUUUUAAUUAGGGAUGUACCGAAGCUGAAAUUUUGCCGAAGCCGAAGCUUCGGCCGAAG